GUGAGUCGGUGCGCAGCUGUCGGUUCUCGAUAUUGAGAGCUGAGGAAACUCCAUCCACCAUGCAGAACUGCGGCAUCGAAAGAUGUAAAGCGAGAGUUUUGGCAACAGAGCAGAAACGGAACGUCCAUCAACUAGAUGAAAAUGAUAUGUGUUAACUCAUUGAUGAAGUUGAAGGAAACGAUGAAACGGCUGACCCGCAGGGUGCAAGGGCAAAUAGGCGCUUAUGAAACCUGCAUGAGGCGCGGGUAGCCCGCUUAGCUGAAUGCUGCAUAAAACAGAAGAUGGGUUACGGCCGAGACGC
rnacentral:RNase_P_RNA from 1 species